rnacentral:rRNA from 1 species
GACGAACGCUGGCGGCGUGCUUAACACAUGCAAGUCGAACGGAAAGGCCCUGCUUUUGUGGGGUGCUCGAGUGGCGAACGGGUGAGUAACACGUGAGUAACCUGCCCUUGACUUUGGGAUAACUUCAGGAAACUGGGGCUAAUACCGGAUAGGAGCUCCUGCUGCAUGGUGGGGGUUGGAAAGGUUCGGCGGUUGGGGAUGGACGCGCGGCUUAUGAGCUUGUUGGUGGGGUAGUGGCUUACCAAGGCUUUGACGGGUCGCCGGCCUGAGAGGGUGACCGGCCACAUUGGGACUGAGAUACGGCCCAGACUCCUACGGGAGGCAGCAGUGGGGAAUAUUGCACAAUGGGCCGAAGCCUGAUGCAGCAACGCCGCGUGCGGGAUGACGGCCUUCGGGUUGUAAACCGCUUUCGCCUGUGACGAAGCGUGAGUGACGGUAAUGGGUAAAGAAGCACCGGCUAACUACGUG